rnacentral:ncRNA from 1 species
AUACAAGCGUUGAAAAGCCGAAGUAUGCCUAUGAUGUUGUAGACAGUAGAGAGUUAGCGGACGGUGAAAGCUAGCACGCGUCAUAAGCAGAAUUACAGCUGGGAGCUUUCUUUGUGUUUAGCACAAAGACGGGAAAACCGUUAUCGUUAGAGUGGAAGGCUUAUUCUGCCUUCAACAAGGGUGGUACCGCGACGAAUGUUCGUCCCUUUU